ensembl:scaRNA
CCGUCCUGGCCACGCCCGCUGCUGCCCCGUGCUCAGCUCCUGCGGCGCACGCGCAGUCUGGCAGGACGCACAGUGUACCCCCCCUCAGUUUAGGAGGGCAGCCCGAAGAAUGGGUCUGGCUCUUAAAGGCACGAGGGGACAGU